UGCAGUCGAGCGGGGAAAAGUAGCUUGCUACUUAACCUAGCGGCGGACGGGUGAGUAAUGCUUAGGAAUCUGCCUAUUAGUGGGGGACAACAUCUCGAAAGGGAUGCUAAUACCGCAUACGUCCUACGGGAGAAAGCAGGGGACCUUCGGGCCUUGCGCUAAUAGAUGAGCCUAAGUCGGAUUAGCUAGUUGGUGGGGUAAAGGCCUACCAAGGCGACGAUCUGUAGCGGGUCUGAGAGGAUGAUCCGCCACACUGGGACUGAGACACGGCCCAGACUCCUACGGGAGGCAGCAGUGGGGAAUAUUGGACAAUGGGGGGAACCCUGAUCCAGCCAUGCCGCGUGUGUGAAGAAGGCCUUUUGGUUGUAAAGCACUUUAAGCGAGGAGGAGGCUACCGAGAUUAAUACUCUUGGAUAGUGGACGUUACUCGCAGAAUAAGCACCGGCUAACUCUGUGCCAGCAGCCGCGGUAAUACAGAGGGUGCAAGCGUUAAUCGGAUUUACUGGGCGUAAAGCGCGCGUAGGUGGCCAAUUAAGUCAAAUGUGAAAUCCCCGAGCUUAACUUGGGAAUUGCAUUCGAUACUGGUUGGCUAGAGUAUGGGAGAGGAUGGUAGAAUUCCAGGUGUAGCGGUGAAAUGCGUANAGAUCUGGAGGAAUACCGAUGGCGAAGGCAGCCAUCUGGCCUAAUACUGACACUGAGGUGCGAAAGCAUGGGGAGCAAACAGGAUUAGAUACCCUGGUAGUCCAUGCCGUAAACGAUGUCUACUAGCCGUUGGGGCCUUUGAGGCUUUAGUGGCGCAGCUAACGCGAUAAGUAAACCGCCUGGGAGUC
rnacentral:rRNA from 1 species